UAUAUAUAUAUAUAUAUAUAUAUAUAUAUAUUAUCGUUUGUUUCCAGAGCAAGUGGCAAAGAAUUUUGUGGUCGAUAUCCGAAGUUCUAAGUUCGAAUUCUAAUUGAUNCGAAAGGAUUCAAAAUCAAUAAUUUUUAAUGGUUGAUAUCUGCCGUUUUCAAGUUUAACGGUGUAGAAGUAUUCAAAUCAGAUAAAAUUUUGAUACAAAAUUUUUUAUACUAUCUACCACAAGAUCAAUAUUUCUGAUCGAAAAUUUUAGUGCUAUAUCAUCACUUUUUAUAUGAUUUUCAUUUUCAGCCGUUAAAAAUUAUUAAUUUGAUUUUGAAUCCUUUCGAUUGCUAGGUAAAUGAUAUCGAAAAAUUGCAAAAAUUAUUUUCUAGAAACUUCAAAUACGCUAAAUCAAGUCUAACGGAGCCAAUCGUCGAUUUGGAAAUUCCAUCAUAAAAAAUAACUCGGGAGCACGGAGGGCUCCGUGCUCCUGAGAGCACAGCAGCCCAGCUCUCUCUGUCUCUCUCUCUGUCUCUCUCUCUCUCUCUCUCUCUCUCUCUCUCUCUCUCUCUCUCUCUAUAUAUAUAUAGUCCGGCUGGGAUCCUAGUUUGUUAAUUCGCGAAUUAUUCGCGAAUUAUUGAAAAUUCGAAUUAAGCGGUCCGUUUACGAAUUUUUUCCAAAAAAGUGAAUUAUUCGCGAAUUUUUGGGCCAGCCGAAUUAUUCGCGAAUUAUUCAUGAAUUAUUCCCGAAUUAUUUUCAAAUUAUUGAAAAUAUGAAUAAAAAACUUAUAAUUUUUAUUUUUAAAUAUAAAUUAUCUUAUAUUUUAUAUCUUAUAUUUUACACUUUAUACCGAAUCCUUUUUUUAAGCCGAAUUUUUCAACGAAUUUAAAAAUUAUAAAACGAAUUUUAUGCGUAUUAUAUUCGUACCGAAUUUUUGUCGAAUCCGAAUUAACUAACUAUGGCUGGGAUACUAUCGAUAGUACCAAACAUUUGGUGCUAUCAAGUUUUCUGCCAUUAGAUUUACCUUUUUUAUCAUUUUCAUCCGUUCGAUUAUACUAUUCAACCAACCACCUAUUCAACCCUAAGGGGUCCACAUUAUCCUAACCACACAUCUUUUAAUUCAAGGGUAGAAAACUUAAUAGCACUAAGUCAUUAGUGCUAUUAAUAGUAUUCCAGCCUAGUUAUAUAUAUAUGUAGAGUAGGUCUUGUGUGCUAUUAGGAGCACGGAAGCCUCCGUGCUCCUAAGCCGUUUUCGAUUAUAGAAUUUUCGAAUCGGCGAUCGGCUCUGUUAGAUUUGAUCUAGCAUAUUUGAAGUAACUAGAAAAUAAAUUUUGCGAUUUUUCGAUAUCAUUUACCUAACGAUCGAAAGGGUUCAAAAUUAACGGCUGAAAAUAAAAAUCUCAUAAAAAGUGGUGAUAUAGCACUAAAAUUUUCGAUCAAAAAUAUUGAUCUUGCUGUAAAUAGUAUAAAGAAUUUUCUAUCAAAAUUUUAUCUGAUUUGAAUACUUCUACACCGUUAAACUUGGAAACUGUAUAUAUCAACCAUUAAAAAUUAUUAAUUUUGAACCCUUUUGAUCACUAGGUAAAUGAUAUCGAAAAAUUACAAAAUUUAUUUUCUAAAUACUUCAAAUAUGCUAGAUCAAGUCUAGUAGAGCCGAUCGUCGAAUCAGAAACUCUAUAAUUGGAAACGACUUAGGAGCACGGAGGCCUUUGUGCUCCUAAUAGCAUACAAGACCUACUAUAUAUAUAUAUAUAUAUAUAUAUAUAUAUAUAUAUAUAUAUAGUGAGGCUAAUAUGCUUUUGGAAGCACGGAGCCUUUCGUGCUUACAGGUCGUUUUCGAUGUUGCGACUUUCGAAUCGUGGAUCGGCUCCGUUAAACUUGAUCUAGAGUAUUUGAAGUAUCUAGAAAAUAAAUUUUACGAUUUUUCGAUAUUAUUUGCCUAGUGAAUGAAGGGGUUCAAAAUCAACGACUGAAAAUAAAAAUCUUACAAAACAUGAUAAUAUGAACAUUAAAAUUUUAGAUCAAAGAUAUUGAUCUUGUUUUAUAUAGUAUAAAAAAUUUUCUAUCAAAAUUUCAUGUGAUUUGGAUAUUUCCACACCGUUAAACUUGCAAAUAGCUCACUACGGCCAUUAAAGAUUUUGAGCCCAUUCGAUCACUAGACAAAUGAUAUCGAAAAAUCAUAAAAUUUAUUUUCUAGGUACUUUAAAUACUCUAGAUCAAGUUUAACGGAGCCGAUCGACGAUUUGAAAGUCGCAACAUCGAAAACGACCUGGAAGCACGGAAAGCUCCGUGCUUCCAGAAGCAUAGUAGCCUCACACUAUAUAUAUAUAUA
rnacentral:lncRNA from 1 species